rnacentral:lncRNA from 1 species
AAAAAUUAGAAGCUAAAUAAAAAUUUAAGGGGUAUGGAUAUUUUUUUUUUUUUAUUUGGGUACACUCUUUAUAGUUUCCCUAAUAUAUAUAUAACAAUAUUUUUAUUACCUAUAGUGUUUCGUUUAAUCAAUUUUCCAAUAAAUGUACGUAUCUCUUUUUUUUUUUUUCUUUGGGCAAAAAUGUACGUAUCUAAGUUUCAAACCGACAAGGUAGAUCGAUAGUACUGAUGGCCAAUAAUAGAUAUGGGUGUAUGUAUGUGAUUCAGUGUAUGUAUAAAAUAUUUUAACCGAUGAGCUAAUCAACUGUGUAACACAUGAGAUCAUCUACAUAAACUCGUUAGGCCAUUUUUAUUGGGAAAAUUCUAUAAAAAUUC